rnacentral:rRNA from 1 species
UACGUAGGGUCCCAAGCAUUAUCCGGAUUUAUUGGGCGUAAAGCACAUGUAGGUGGUUAUGUCAGUCGCUGCUUAAAUCUCUGGGCUCAACCCAGAUCCUGGCAGCGAGACGGCAUGACUAGUGGUCGGCAGGGGUGAACGGAAUUCUCGGUGUAGGAGUGAAAUGCGUAGAUAUUGGAAGGAACACCAGUGGCGUAAGCGGCUGUCUGGACGAGUAUUGACGCUGAGGCACGAAAGCGUGGGGAUCAAACAGGAUUAGAUACCCUAGUAGU